rnacentral:sRNA from 1 species
AUUCCAGUAUUAUUUUCGUAGAUUUUAUAUAUAUAUAUAUAUAUAUGUUGGUAAAAUACUAAAGAU